UACGUAGGGUGCAAGCGUUUAAUCGGAAUUACUGGGCGUAAAGCGUGCGCAGACGGUUGCGUAAGUCAGAUGUGAAAGCCCCCGGGCUCAAACCUGGGAAUUGCAUUUGAGACUGCGUAGCUAGGGUGCGGAAGAGGGAAGCGGAAUUUCCGGUGUAGCGGUGAAAUGCGUAGAUAUCGGAAGGAACACCAGUGGCGAAAGCGGCUUCCUGGUCCAGC
rnacentral:rRNA from 1 species